GCGCCAGACUCCUACGGGAGGCAGCAGUGAGGAAUAUUGGUCAAUGGGCGCGAGCCUGAACCAGCCAAGUCGCGUGAGGGAAGACGGUCCUAUGGAUUGUAAACCUCUUUUGUCGGGGAGCAAAAGACGCCACGUGUGGCGUUCCGAGAGUACCCGAAGAAAAAGCAUCGGCUAACUCCGUGCCAGCAGCCGCGGUAAUACGUAGGUGGCAAGCGUUAUCCGGAUUUAUUGGGUGUAAAGGGCGUGUAGGCGGGAAUGCAAGUCAGAUGUGAAAACUAUGGGCUCAACCCAUAGCCUGCAUUUGAAACUGUAUUUCUUGAGUGCUGGAGAGGCAAUCGGAAUUCCGUGUGUAGCGGUGAAAUGCGUAGAUAUACGGAGGAACACCAGUGGCGAAGGCGGCUUGCUGGACGAUGACUGACGUUGAGGCUCGAAAGCGUGGGGAGCAAACAGGAUUAGAUACCCCGGUA
rnacentral:rRNA from 1 species